AUGCGCUCCAAGGCGGUGCCUUCAGGAAGGAUACGACGCCGGAGCGCCGCCACCGCCCGAUCCAAGGAUCAGAGUUUCCCCCGGAGCCGCAUGACGGGCAAUGAGAGCCGCGACGACGCCUUCAAGAAGGGAACAAUCUUCGCCGCCGCCGGCCCGUCCGAAGAUAGAGCAGGUUUUCACCUCGGCCAACAAUCAUCGCCACCGAACGCCACACCCCGGCAACCACGCCGCCCACACGACCAUGAUGACCGGGUAGCACCAAGGCACGGGCUUUGUCCAAGAGCACCGCGCAACCACCAUCACCAGGACCGCCCCCCAGCAUCCAAGACCUUGACACCACCUCACCCGUGA
rnacentral:rRNA from 1 species